rnacentral:rRNA from 1 species
UACGGAGGGUGCAAGCGUUGUCCGGAAUUAUUGGGCGUAAAGAGCUCGUAGGCGGUGUGUCGCGUCGGCCGUGAAAACCUGCAGCUUAACUGUGGGCUUGCGGUCGAUACGAGCAUCACUGGAGUUCGGCAGGGGAGACUGGAAUUCCUGGUGUAGCGGUGAAAUGCGCAGAUAUCAGGAGGAACACCGGUGGCGAAGGCGGGUCUCUGGGCCGAUACUGACGCUGAGGAGCGAAAGCGUGGGGAGCGAACAGG